AGUAACAUUCAAAAGUAACAUUCGUAUUUAUACCAGGUUGAAGGACUCUUGGCGGAACUAUUACCCUGCUCAUGAUAUGAACUUGGUUGUCCCAUCUAAAGUGGUUUGCCAAAUCCAAGUUUGAUCAUCUGAAAGAGCCUUUUGACACACCAGAAUUUCACAGACUUUACAGAGGGAUUCCUAGCAAGAAGCUGGCAAACCCUCAACUUUCAAGACAGCCCUUGCAGAUCGACUUUAUGUGCAGUUAUCCCAGUCCGCAACAUCCAUCUGUUGAACAUUACUUGGGCACUGCCCCCACAGAGAAAAAUUACAGGAUGCUGAGGAGAUAUGGGCCUGGUUUGGAUGCGCCAGUCAUAUCCCAGCCUUCAUUGCUUUUGGCCUCUGUGUGGUCUUCGACCCAACUUUGAUGGAGAUGUUACAGAGCUCUGAUGGUACCUACAGAAGCUCCUGUGGUGAAAGAUGUGCACGUUUUCCCUCUAUGUUUCCCACAAAACUCUGAUUUAGGAAGAACAAAAGAGCUUAAAUGCUUGCACAAUCACUUUGCAUCCUGCAGUGGAAUAAGAAAGGUCAGGCAAUAACUUGCGCUCAAAAAGAAGACUUCAGUAGAAUGGAUUUGGUUUAUUUAAUAGUAAAGAAAAGGUCAUGUCUUUUGUUCUUUUAUUCUCACAUAAAUUG